rnacentral:lncRNA from 1 species
AACGGAAAAGCUCGUGCAAGUUCUAACUUCGACGAAUGGAUCGCUAAGCACCAAAUUUUUCUGCCUCGAAUCCGAAUACGUUCAGUCUGUUGCAACCUCAGCGGUCAUCCGCACGUUGUCAUGGGGCGUUAUCGUUACAAGUGGGCAUAUCACCUUUAUGAUGAAAUACAGGCUGAAGGUUGCCAUCUUUGUUGAAGGAACAGCUCAAGAGCCGACAUUACGCCUUCAACUAAAAGG